rnacentral:tRNA from 1 species
GGGCCCGUAGCUCAGCCAGGAUAGAGCGGCGGGCUUUUAACCCGUAGGUCCCGGGUUCGAAUCCCGGCGGGCCCG